UACGAAGGGUGCAAACGUUGCUCGGAAUCAUUGGGCGUAAAGCGCACGUAGGCGGCCUGUUAAGUCGGAUGUGAAAUCCCUCGGCUCAACCGAGGACGUGCACCCGAAACUGGCGGGCUCGAGUAUGGAAGAGGGUCGCGGAAUUCCCGGUGUAGAGGUGAAAUUCGUAGAUAUCGGGAGGAACACCAGUGGCGAAGGCGGCGACCUGGGCCAAUACUGACGCUGAGGUGCGAAAGCGUGGGGAGCAAACAGG
rnacentral:rRNA from 1 species